GACGAACGCUGGCGGCGUGCUUAACACAUGCAAGUCGAACGAAGUGGGAACGGGUGAGUAAUACGUGGGUAACCUCCCUCCUUUUUGGGAUAAGCCUUGGAAACGGGGUCUAAACCGAAUAGAUGGGCUCGCGGCCUAUCAGCUUGUUGGUGGGGUGAUGGCCUACCAAGGCGGGCACUGGUAGCCGGUCUGAGAGGAUGAACGGCAAAAUUGGGACUGAGGAACGGCCCAGACUCCUACGGGAGGCAGCAGUGGGGAAUCUUCCGCAAUGGACGAAAGUCUGACGGAGCAACGCCGGGUGAGUGAUGACGGCCUUCGGGUUGUAAAGCUCUGUUAAUCGGGACGCGGUACCGGAAUAGAAAGCCACGGCUAACUACGUGCCAGCAGCCGCGGUAAUAC
rnacentral:rRNA from 1 species